CGGGUGAGUAACACGUAUCCAACCUGCCGUCUACUCUUGGACAGCCUUCUGAAAGGAAGAUUAAUACAAGAUGGCAUCAUGAGUCCACAUGUUCACAUGAUUAAAGGUAUUCCGGUAGACGAUGGGGAUGCGUUCCAUUAGAUAGUAGGCGGGGUAACGGCCCACCUAGUCUUCGAUGGAUAGGGGUUCUGAGAGGAAGAUCCCCCACAUUGGAACUGAGACACGGUCCAA
rnacentral:rRNA from 1 species